GCGUCCGUAGCUCAGGUGGAUAGAGCGUUCGGCUCCGACCCGGAAGGCCGCUGGUUCGAAUCCAGUCGGGCGCACCA
rnacentral:tRNA from 1 species